rnacentral:rRNA from 1 species
UAAGUAACCUGCCUCAUACAGGGGGAUAGCAGCUGGAAACGGCUGAUAAAACCGCAUAAGCGCACAGCAUCGCAUGAUGCAGUGUGAAAAACUCCGGUGGUAUGAGAUGGACCCGCGUCUGAUUAGCUAGUUGGUGAGGUAACGGCCCACCAAGGCGACGAUCAGUAGCCGGCCUGAGAGGGUGACCGGCCACAUUGGGACUGAGACACGGCCCAA